rnacentral:rRNA from 1 species
CCUGGCUCAGGAUGAACGCUAGCGGCAGGCCUAACACAUGCAAGUCGAGGGAGAAGCCCUUCGGGGCAGAAACCGGCGCACGGGUGCGUAACGCGUAUGCAACCUACCUUUCACAGGGGGAUAGCCCGAAGAAAUUUGGAUUAAUACCCCAUAAUAUUGUUGGAUGGCAUCAUUUGGCAAUUAAAGCUACGACGGUGGAAGAUGGGCAUGCGUCCUAUUAGCUAGUUGGAGUGGUAACGGCACCCCAAGGCUACGAUAGGUAGGGGUCCUGAGAGGGAGAUCCCCCACACUGGUACUGAGACAGGGACCAGACUCCUACGG